rnacentral:tRNA from 1 species
GGGCCUGUGGUCUAGUGGUUACGACGCCACCCUUACAAGGUGGAGGUCCCUGGUUCGAUCCCAGGCAGGCCCA